rnacentral:snRNA from 1 species
AUCGCUUCUCAGCCUUUUGGCUAAGAUCAAGUGUAAAAAAAGAAGAUGAAAAAGGCAUUAAUUUGUCAGGAGCAGACAUAAACAGAAACAUGUUUUGAUUAAUGGCAAUCAGGUUCAGUACUAUCGGCAAUUUCAGGCAUCUACUUGGGAUCUUG